UCCUACGGGAGGCAGCAGUGGGGAACUUGGACAAGGGGGCAAAGCGGAAUCCAGCCAUGCGGCGCGAGCAAGAAGGCGCCAGCCGGUAAAGCGAUAAGGCCGGAAGGGUGUAAAGCUGUUUAACACGGAAGAUAAGACGGUACCCGGAGAAGAAGCACCGUUAUUUUUU
rnacentral:rRNA from 1 species